GUGAGGAAUAUUGGUCAAUGGGCGGGAGCCUGAACCAGCCAAGUCGCGUGAAGGAAGAAGGAUCUAUGGUUCGUAAACUUCUUUUGCAGGGGAAUAAAGUGCAGGACGUGUCCUGUUUUGUAUGUACCCUGAGAAUAAGGAUCGGCUAACUCCGUGCCAGCAGCCGCGGUAAUACGGAGGAUCCGAGCGUUAUCCGGAUUUAUUGGGUUUAAAGGGUGCGUAGGUGGUUUGAUAAGUCAGCGGUGAAAGUUUGCAGCUUAACUGUAAAAAUGCCGUUGAAACUGUCGGACUUGAGUGUAAAUGAGGUAGGCGGAAUGCGUGGUGUAGCGGUGAAAUGCAUAGAUAUCACGCAGAACUCCGAUUGCGAAGGCAGCUUACUAAGCUACAACUGGCACUGAAGCACGAAAGCGUGGGGAUCAAACAGGAUUAGAAACCCCUGUAGUCC
rnacentral:rRNA from 1 species